AUGGGCAAGUCGGGUUCUCCUUCCCUUGUGUUGCUGCUGGUUGCUGCCAUGGCGGGGGCGACGGUGUUCGUCGCGUCGUCGCCGGUGGCCGGAUUGCCGGAGGCGGAGCCCCCGUUCCCGAACCCGUGGCUGGCGUUCCAGAACCUCUCCGGCUGCCACAUGGGCGACGAGCGGGACGGGCUGGCGAGGCUAAAGGACUACCUGAGCCACUUCGGGUACCUCCCGGAGGCGCCGUCGUCGUCGCCCUUCAGCGACGCGUUCGACGCCGACCUGGAGGCGGCCAUCGCCACGUACCAGCGCAACUUCGGCCUCAACGCGACGGGCUUCCUGGACCCGUCCACCGUGUCCCAGAUGGUCGCCCCGCGCUGCGGCGUGGCCGACGUCGUCAACGGCACGUCCACCAUGGACCGGCGGAACGCGUCGUCGGGGCACGGCCGGCACCUCUACACGUACUUCCCCGGCGGGCCCAUGUGGCCGCCGUUCCGCCGCGAGCUGCGGUACACGAUCACCGCGACCGCGGCGACAUCCAUCGACCGGGCGACGCUGAGCGCGGUCUUCGCGCGCGCCUUCGCCCGGUGGUCCGACGCCACCACGCUGCGGUUCGCGGAGACGGCAUCCGAGGCCGACGCCGACAUCACCAUCGGGUUCUACGCGGGGUCGCACGGCGACGGCGAGGCGUUCGACGGGCCCCUGGGCACGCUGGCGCACGCCUUCUCGCCGACGGACGGGCGGUUCCACCUGGACGCUGCGGAGGCGUGGGUCGCCGACGGUGAGACGUCCUCCAGCCCGGGCGCGGUGGACCUGGAGUCGGUGGCGGUGCACGAGAUCGGGCACCUGCUGGGGCUGGGCCACUCGUCGGUGCAGGGCGCCAUCAUGUACCCGACCAUCAGGACGGGGACGAGGAAGGUGGACCUGGAGGCGGAUGACGUGCAGGGGAUCCAGAGCAUGUACGGGACCAACCCCAACUUCAAGGGCGUCGCGCCGACGUCGCCGUCGACGAGCAGCCGGGAGAUGGACAGCAGCGCCGGCGCCGGCUCCCGGCCGGGCGGCCGGUUCGUUGCGGUAGUUGUGGCGGUUGGCCUGCUGCUCCUACUGUCACUGUAG
rnacentral:rRNA from 1 species